rnacentral:rRNA from 1 species
GACGAACGCUGGCGGCGUGCCUAACACAUGCAAGUCGAACGGAGCAGAUCCCUUCGGGGGUUUGCUUAGUGGCGAACGGGUGAGUAACGCGUGAGGAACCUGCCUUUCAGUGGGGGACAACAGUUGGAAACGACUGCUAAUACCGCAUAAUGCUUUGUAGGCGGCACUCGACUUGAAACGACCAAAGUAUUUAUCGCUGAAAGAUGGUCUCGCGUCUGAUUAGCUAGUUGGUGAGGUAACGGCUCACCAAGGCGACGAUCAGUAGCCGGUCUGAGAGGAUGAACGGCCACAUUGGGACUGAGAUACGGCCCAG